rnacentral:rRNA from 1 species
GAUGAACGCUGGCGGCGUGCCUAAUACAUGCAAGUCGAGCGAACAGACGAGGAGCUUGCUCCUCAGACGUUAGCGGCGGACGGGUGAGUAACACGUUGAUAACCUACCUAUAAGACUGGGAUAACUUCGGGAAACCGGAGCUAAUACCGGAUAAUAUAUUGAACCUCAUGGUUCAAUAGUGAAAGACGGUUUUGCUGUCACUUAUAGAUAGAUCCGCGCCGCAUUAGCUAGUUGGUAAGGUAACGGCUUACCAAGGCAACGAUGCGUAGCCGACCUGAGAGGGUGAUCGGCCACACUGGAACUGAGACACGGUCCAGACUCCUACGGGAGGCAGCAGUAGGGAAUCUUCCGCAAUGGGCGAAAGCCUGACGGAGCAACGCCGCGUGAGUGAUGAAGGUCUUCGGAUCGUAAAACUCUGUUAUUAGGGAAGAACAAAUGUGUAAGUAACUAUGCACGUCUUGACGGUACCUAAUCAGAAAGCCACGGCUAACUACGUG